rnacentral:rRNA from 1 species
AUUGAACGCUGGCGGCAUGCCUUACACAUGCAAGUCGAACGGCAGCACGGGAGCAAUCCUGGUGGCGAGUGGCGAACGGGUGAGUAAAGUAUCGGAACGUGCCCAGUCGUGGGGGAUAACGUAGCGAAAGCUACGCUAAUACCGCAUACGAUCUAUGGAUGAAAGCGGGGGAUCGCAAGACCUCGCGCGAUUGGAGCGGCCGAUAUCAGAUUAGGUAGUUGGUGGGGUAAAGGCCCACCAAGCCGACGAUCUGUAGCUGGUCUGAGAGGACGACCAGCCACACUGGGACUGAGACACGGCCCAGACUCCUACGGGAGGCAGCAGUGGGGAAUUUUGGACAAUGGGCGCAAGCCUGAUCCAGCAAUGCCGCGUGCAGGAUGAAGGCCUUCGGGUUGUAAACUGCUUUUGUACGGAGCGAAACGGCUUCCACUAAUACUGGGGGCUAAUGACGGUACCGUAAGAAUAAGCACCGGCUAACUACGUGCCAGCCGCCGCAGUAAAAC